AACGAACGCUGGCGGCGCGCCUAAUACAUGCAAGUCGAGCGAGAAGACGUAGCAAUACGUUUGUAAAGCGGCGAACGGGUGAGGAAUACAUGGGUAACCUACCCUCGAGUGGGGAAUAACUAGCCGAAAGGUUAGCUAAUACCGCGUACGCUCCUUGGACUUCGGUUCAGGGAGGAAAGCGAUACCGUGGGUAUCGCGCUCUUGGAUGGGCUCAUGUCCUAUCAGCUUGNGGUGAGGUAACGGCUCACCAAGGCUUCGACGGGUAGCUGGUCUGAGAGGACGAUCAGCCACACUGGGACUGAGACACGGCCCAGACUCCUACGGGAGGCAGCAGUGGGGAAUAUUGGACAAUGGGCGAAAGCCUGAUCCAGCGAUGCCGCGUGUGUGAAGAAGGCCUGCGGGUUGUAAAGCACUUUCAGUAGGGAAGAAAU
rnacentral:rRNA from 1 species